rnacentral:rRNA from 1 species
GUGCUGGAACGUUAAGGGGACCGGUCAGCUCCACUUCGGUGGGGCGAAGCUGAGAACUUAAGCGCCAGUAAACGGCGGUGGUAACUAUAACCAUCCUAAGGUAGCGAAAUUCCUUGUCGGGUAAGUUCCGACCUGCACGAAUGGCGUAACGACUUCUCGACUGUCUCAACCAUAGGCCCGGUGAAAUUGCACUACGAGUAAAGAUGCUCGUUUCGCGCAGCAGGACGGAAAGACCCCGGGACCUUUACUACAGUUUGAUAUUGGUGUUCGGUUCGGCUUGUGUAGGAUAGCUGGGAGACUGUGAAGCGGCCACGCCAGUGGUCGUGGAGUCGUCGUUGAAAUACCAGUCUGGUCGUGCUGGAUGUCUAACCUGGGUCCGUGAUCCGGAUCAGGGACAGUGUCUGAUGGGUAGUUUAACUGGGGCGGUUGCCUCCUAAAGGGUAACGGAGGCGCCCAAAGGUUCCCUCAGCCUGGUUGGCAAUCAGGUGGUGAGUGUAAGUGCACAAGGGAGCUUGACUGUGAGACCGACGGGUCGAGCAGGGACGAAAGUCGGGACUAGUGAUCCGGCGGUGGCUUGUGGAAGCGCCGUCGCUCAACGGAUAAAAGGUACCCCGGGGAUAACAGGCUGAUCUUCCCCAAGAGUCCAUAUCGACGGGAUGGUUUGGCACCUCGAUGUCGGCUCGUCGCAUCCUGGGGCUGGAGUCGGUCCCAAGGGUUGGGCUGUUCGCCCAUUAAAGCGGUACGCGAGCUGGGUUUAGAACGUCGUGAGACAGUUCGGUCCCUAUCCGCUGUGCGCGCAGGAGUCUUGAGAAGGGCUGUCCCUAGUACGAGAGGACCGGGACGGACGAACCUCUGGUGUGCCAGUUGUCCUGCCAAGGGCAUGGCUGGUUGGCUACGUUCGGGAGGGAUAACCGCUGAAAGCAUCUAAGCGGGAAGCCUGCUUCGAGAUGAGGACUCCCACCCACUUGAUGGGGUAAGGCUCCCAGCAGACGACUGGGUUGAUAGGCCGGAUCUGGAAGCACGGUAACGUGUGGAGGUGACCGGUACUAAUAGGCCGAGGGCUUGUCCUCAGCUG